GGGCCCGUAGCUCAGCUAGGAUGGAGCGGCGGCCUAGGCGUGAACACACGCCGCCGAACCUAAGCCGCAGGUCCCGGGUUCAAAUCCCGGCGGGCCCG
rnacentral:tRNA from 1 species